CCGUCUCGAUUUGCUGCGGACAGAUGAAGUGGAUGUGCGUGUCGAUACCGCCUGCCGUCACGAUUUUGCCCUCGCCGGCGAUGACCUCGGUGCUCGCACCUACAAUCAUAUUCGGCAUGACGCCGUCCAUAAUGUCCGGGUUACCUGCCUUGCCUAUGCCGACAAUGACGCCAUCCCGAAUCCCGAUAUCGGCCUUCACGAUGCCCCAAUGGUCGAUAAUGACCGCAUUCGUGAUGAGCGUAUCGAGCACGCCGUCAUCUCGCAGCGCGCCGCUCGAUUGCCCCAUUCCGUCACGG
rnacentral:sRNA from 1 species